rnacentral:misc_RNA from 1 species
AAAGUCGUAACAAGGUUUCCGUAGGUGAACCUGCGGAAGGAUCAUUAAAAAAAGUACGUGCACCGCUGUUGCGGACCCUCCGCGAUAUGUGCUGUCCGACGUUACACCCUGGCCUACCUCUGCCGGGCCCCCCCACCCUCUUCCCGAGAAAAGGGGGGGGGGGGGGUCAGACCACCGGAGGAAGGUUUCAUGUGUCCACCCUUUGUGAAACUCUUCUAUAUGCUUCGGCAGCACUUCGUGGGCAACUGCGGGGGUAAGGCUGCCAGAAGCCCAUAUCAAAAACCAGUUGAUAAAAAUAUCAUGCUGUCUGAUAAUCUUUUUGAGAAACCAAAAUUACAUUAAAACUUUCAGCAACGGAUCUCUUGGUUCUC